CGUUCUUUCCACUCACACAGGGAGAGGGUGCAGUUGGAGUAGGAGCUGGGGAAUGGCUGAGCACACCAGAAAAAGAAAGAAAGAAAAAGAAUGUAUUUUAUAACAGAUGUUACUGGUAAUGAAGCUGACUUAUUAAGAACUCCUGUGUCAGGCCAGGUGUGUCAGGUCUCUCUCUGGGUGUGGCAAAUAGCGGUGCACCUUGCCCCAGCUGCAAAUCAUUCCCCUUUGUGCUGCUGAAUCCAUUGGAUCUAGAGGUAACUAUUUAUUCUAUUUUUUGACUUUGUAACAGUUUCCCAGCUCAGCUUUUGGCA
rnacentral:lncRNA from 1 species